GUCAGUGUGGCUUAGUGGUUUGAGUGUUGGACUACGACUCUGGAGACCAGGGUUCAAUUCCCUGCUCAGCCA
rnacentral:tRNA from 1 species